GAGCGGAGAGGCCGCAGUGCGACGGGCAGAGCCAAGGAGCCACUCUCCCGGGCAACAGAGACCGGAGAGGCCAGAGGGCAGGAUGGCUCUGGGCGGAGGGGCCCCCAGAAGAGAGGUGUCCGAGUCCUCAGGCCAAGCACUGCAGAGCUAGGUGAGCACCUGAUGGGGCUGGAGCUAGAGCUGCUCGGCCAGAGCUCGCUGCGUCACCGCCCUCUCCACUGUCUCCACAGUCCCUGCGAGGAGCCCCUCAGAAACACUGGCUUACCAGCACCUACCCGUCAGGAUCUUUGUGGCUCUGUUUGACUAUGACCCCGUGUCAAUGUCGCCCAAUCCUGAUGCUGGAGAAGAAGAGCUUCCCUUCCGAGAGGGUCAGAUCCUGAAGGUGACUGAUUCGCCAUCAGGGCUCAGAAUUCCAAACACCAGCUAGGUCUUCCCUCCUCCCUCCUUUCCUCCACUGGAGGUAGCACAGAAUCAUGGUGGAGAACAUGGCUUCUAGAGCAGAUGACAUGGGUUUGGACCUGACUCUGCUGCUUCUAGCUGUGUAACCUUG
rnacentral:sRNA from 1 species